AUUGAACGCUGGCGGCAGGCCUAACACAUGCAAGUCGAACGAGUUGCGGACGGGUGAGUCAUGUCUGGGAAACUGCCAGAUGGAGGGGGAUAACUACUGGAAACGGUAGCUAAUACCGCAUACCAUCGGAUGUGCCCAGAUGGGAUUAGCUAGGAGGUAGGGUAACGGCUCACCUAGUAGACGGUCCCUAGCUGGGCUGAGAGGAUGAACGGCCACACUGGAACUGAGACACGGUCCAGACUCCUACGGUAGGCAGCAGUGGGGAAUAUUGCACAAUGGGCGCAAGCCUGAUGCAGCCAUGCCGCGUGUAUGAAGAAGGCCUUCGGGUUGUAAAGUACUUUCAGCGGGGAGGCGUUACCCGCAGAAGAAGCACCGGCUAACUCCGUGCCAGCCGCCGCGGUAAUAC
rnacentral:rRNA from 1 species